AGGGUGCACUAUAUAAGGAAUAGGGUGCACUAUAUAGGGAAUAGUGUGCACUAUAUAGGGAAUAGGGUGCACUAUAUAAGGAAUAGGGUGCACUAUAUAGGGAAUAGUGUACACUAUAUAGGGAAUAGGGUGCACUAUAUAGGGAAUAGGGUGCACUAUAUAGGGAAUAGGGUGUACUAUAUAGGGAAUAGGGUGCACUAUAUAGGGAAUAGUGUGCACUAUAUAGGGAAUAGGGUGCACUAUAUAGGGAAUAGGGUGCACUAUAUAGGGAAUAGGGUGCACUAUAUAGGGAAUAGGGUGUACUAUAUAAUCAGUUAACCACACUUAGCUCCUAUAAAUCUGGCUGAGUGAUGUGGUGUCUCCUGGGGGAACGGCUCGUCUCUGUGUUAGUUACACUGUUGAUGUGUUAGUUACACUGUUGAUGUGUUCGUUACACUGUUGAUGUGUUAGUUACACUGUUGAUGUGUUAGUUACACUGUUGAUGUGUUCGGAACAGACAACCAGUCGUUGGUUACUGCAGCUGAACACACACACGCAGGCAGACAGACAGACAGAUGUACACACACACAGACAGACAGACACACAAACAGACACAGACAGAUGUACACACACACGCAGGCAGACAGACAGACAGACAGACAGACAGAUGUACACACACACGGACAGACAGACAGACAGACAGACAGACAGACAGACAGACAGACAGACAGACAGACAGACAGACAGACAGACAGACGUACACACACACACGGACAGACACACACAGACAGACAUACACACACACACAGACAGACAGACAUACACAGACACACACACACACACACACACACACAUACAGACAUACACACACACAUACAGACAUACACACACACACACAGACAUACACAUACACACAUACAGACAUACACACACACACACACAGACAUACACACACACAGACAUACACACACACAGACAUACACAUACACACAUACAGACAUACACACACACACACAGACAUACACACACACAGACAUACACACACACACACACACAGAAAGACACAGACACACACACACACACAGACACACACACACACACAUACACACACACACAUACAGACAUACACACACACACAUACAGACAUACACACACACACAGACACACACACACACACACACACACACACAUACAGACAUACACACACACACAGACACACACA
ensembl:lncRNA